rnacentral:rRNA from 1 species
UUGUCGAAACCUGCAAAGCAGAUACGACCCGCGAACAUGUUGUUUAACAAAGGGUGUUGUACCUGGCCCUGCCAUGGUGCUCCCCUAUGGGGGGAGGUGCGGACUGGAGGGGUGGGAUUUUUCCAUCCUCUCUUGCACGCACCGUCCUCCCAAAAAACAAAACCCCGGCGUGAAAUGCGCCAAGGAAUCGGAAAUGAUUAGAGAAGGGAGUGAGCGCCCCUGUGGUUCUGGGAACAGACCUCACGGGGGUGGUUGGCUUGCCUAUUCGAAAACUAAACGACUCUCGGCAACGGAUAUCUUGGCUCUCGCAUCGAUGAAGAACGUAGCGAAAUGCGAUACUUGGUGUGAAUUGCAGAAUCCCGUGAACCAUCGAGUUUUUGAACGCAAGUUGCGCCCGAAGCCUUCGGGCCGAGGGCACGUCUGCCUGGGUGUCAUGUAUCGUUGCCCCAUCCAACUCCCUCUGUGGGAGACAGGAGUAGGGGCGGAAAAUGGUCUCCCGUGCGCUCCCGCUCGCGGUUGGCCGAAAUAUGAGUCGUUGGUGACAGUGCCACGGCAAGCGGUGGUUGACAAGACCUUCGGAAAUUGCCAAGGCCAAGCCAACAAAAGGCUUCGAGACCCUGUUCAAUCCCAACAGCGACCCCAGGUCAGGCGGGAUUACCCGCUGAG